AUGGUAGGAGGUGGGUUGCCUCCCAUCCUCAAAGCCAAGGAUAAGAGCUUUCCAGAGAACCACUCACAGAGGAAAAAUACAUUGGAAAGAGAUGGCAUGAUGGGGGACUGCCAGGCAAAGCAGGGAUCAAAACUGUCUUCACCUGAGGUCAUGGUAUCCUGGAGGUUUGAAAGGUGGAUUCCACAAAAACCUGAAGACCCAGGAAUUGGCUGUGACUUAAUAAAUGGGGCUGGGAAUGGUGGCUUAUACCUGUAA
rnacentral:lncRNA from 1 species